GUGCCAGCAGCCGCGGUAAUACGUAGGUGGCAAGCGUUAUCCGGAUUUAUUGGGCUUAAAGCGCGCGCAGGCGGUUUCUUAAGUCUGAUGUGAAAGCCCACGGCUCAACUGUGGAGGGUCAUUGGAAACUGGGAGACUUGAGUGCAGAUGAGGAAAGUGGAAUUCCAUGUGUAGCGGUGAAAUGCGUAGAUAUAUGGAAGAACGCCAGUGGCGAAGGUGACUUUCUGGCCUGUAACUGACACUGAGG
rnacentral:rRNA from 1 species